rnacentral:tRNA from 1 species
GGUGAGGUGUCCGAGCGGUUGAAGGAGCACGCCUGGAAAGUGUGUAUACGAGAAAUCGUAUCGAGGGUUCGAAUCCCCUCCCCUCACCGCCA